UACAGUGGGUACGGAAAGUAUUAAGACCCCCUUAAAUUUUUCACUCUUUUUUAUAUUGCAACCUUGCAAAAAUCUAAGACCAUAUAUUGCAACCAAAAAUCUAAGACCAUAUAUUGCAACCUUGCUAAAAUCUAAGACCAGAAAGCAGGGCAUUGCAAUAGUCUAAACAACAGGAGAUAAAAGCAUGCAUCAGCACCUCUGUGUUAUAGACCCAUUGAUGGAAAAAUGUAAAUAAGUUAUCAUGUGUUGUGCUUUUCUGCUUACUUCUAGUUAGAUAAAUGUUUUAUCACUGUGUGCAAAGUUUUCUCCCACAGGAUGAGUCAUGUGGUUGCAGGUGCAAGGACAAAUUUGAGAGGAGUCGUUCUGUUUCUUGAUAAGAAGUAUAUAAUUCUUCUACUGUAUCAACCACAACAAAGAGUGUUAUGUGCUGAUCACGAGUUGCAACAUGCUUGUAUGCCCCCACCUUUUUGACGUUGUAACUCAUAUGUAACAAGGGAACUGCCCUAAAGUAAUAAAAAGAGAGAAUCCGGCAGAGUGAACUCAGAAAAAUGGUUGGAGACUGUAACUAAGUACACUCUUGGCUGUUUUCUCCUUGCAAGUCUGAAAACUGAACUACCUCUGUGUCUGUCUUGAUUUUUUACAAGUGUUUUAGGUGUCUUGAACCUGACAUUUACUUGGUCCUUCGAGCCGGAUACCAACAUACCCGACGAAUCCAGCGGGCGGGUGGAUUGCAGUAUAAAGACCAUGGCCAUGGCGGACUCCAUUUAAAGUGAGUCCAAAAGACCCUUUCCGUGACUGAAAUCGGCUCGCCAGCUGGAAUCCAAAGGUUGACGGUACUCUGAGAAGACAGACAGGGCCCCGGAUGGAAAAGUAACAAGCGCUACAUGGGUUACAAACUAUGGCUGCUGAAAUGGCAGAUUCAACAGGCGUUUCCAACCCCCUGGAAGAUUGGGCUACGAUGUGGUUUGGAAAAUGAAAACACCUUGUAAUUACAUUUAUAAUUACUAUUGUUACUGCUGUUACUUUGUUAUUGCUUUUCGGAUGCUGUAUUGUUCCAAGUAUGAGGACACUGUGUGUCAGGAUUGUCGCGGGAGUGGGGGGAAGGAAUAUGAUCACAGAUGUUGAUGACCUCCGAGGAAGCUCCUACUCCUGAAGUUCAGGACACACAAGACGACGUCGUGUCCAGAUGGAUGAAUUAUUGAUUAAGAAUAUACAGUGUCUUUUCUCUUAGCAUGUUACGGACUUGUCUUUUUCCCUCCUCAGAUCAAUAUAUGGGGAGGUUUUUGGCCUGUCUCAAGAGUAGUACUGAUUUAUGAAGAAUGCUUAGCUCAUGACUACAUUGUUUAUAUAUCAUAUUAUAAGCCUUCCACAUAAGAGUAGUACUGCUUAGGGUAUGUUACAUAGUUCCACUAUGUAAACAGGGGAAUUGUUGGAUUGUUCUAUUUGUACUCCUUUCUUUAACAAAUAACUCCCAUUUCCAAAACAUCCAAGGCCAGAGAGAGGGGUGCCCACAUUUUAGGAUGACUCCCUUUUCUUCUUUAUAGCACUCAAGGUAGAUUACUGAAGAAUGAUGUUUUUAGGAUGACUCCCUUUUCUGAUAUCACCCAAGGCCAGAGGUACCUUCUGCUGAAACAUAUAUCAAAACUUUCUCCCAGGCAGAUCCAACUUACAUAGAUGCAAUUGGAAUUCCAAGAGGGGUACCUGAUGAAUACAAAUUAGUAGAUCAAGUAACAUCAGGGUUUGAAUCUACAAUCUGUUGGUGGUGUACAACCAAUAAAAACGUAGACCGAAUGAACUACAUCCACUACAAUGUACAGCGUUAGGAAAUUGGACACAAGACGGUUUUAAGGCCGUACAUGAACAACUGGCUGCCACAUCUUUAAUGUCAUUUCAGAACAGAAUUGCACUAGAUAUGUUGCUUGCAGAGAGAGGAGAUGUGUGUGCCAUGUUUGGAGAACUGCGCUGUACACACCGCUGCAGAUGGCAGCCUGACCAGGGCCAUUGAUGGCCUGCGCACCCUCAAUCACAAGAUGAAAGAGCAUUCUGGUGUGGACACAUCCAUGAGGAACGAAUGGAUGAAAGUGUUUGGCAAGUAUAAGAUGUUGGUCUCAUCAAUUUUAAUAUCAAUAGCAGUAUUUGCUGCAAUACUGACAUUGUGUGGAUGUUGCUGUAUUCCAUGUUUACAAGCACUUCUGAAUAGAUGAAUCACCACCGCAAUCCAACCUAUGAGCAAUCGUGCAGAACAAAUGUACCCCCUUCUAACAAAACAGAACCAGGAUAGUUCUGAUGACGAUGAUGAUAAAGAAAUGGAGAUCGGGACAUUGUUUGAUUCAGCUGAGAAGACCAAAUAAAGCAUUUCAUGUCUUGUGUUCAUGAUAAUGAUCUUACAGCCAAAAAUCAGAAGAAGCGGCUGCAAAAUAAAUGAUGUGAAACAUAAGCAAAAACAUGAUAAACAAGAGGGAAAUGAUGGAAAAAUGUAAAUAAGUUAUCAUGUGUUGUGCUUUUCUGCUUACUUCUAGUUAGAGAAAUGUUUUAUCACUGCGUGCAAAGUUUUCUCCCACAGGUUGAGUCAUGUGCUUGCAGGUGCAAGGACAAAUUUGAGAGGAGUCUUUCUGUGUCUUGAUAAGAAGUAUAUAAUUCUUCUACUGUCUCAACCACAACAAAGAGUGUAAUGUGCUGAUCACAUGAGUUGCAACAUGCUUGUAUGCCCCCACCUUUUUGACGUUGUAACUCAUAUGUAACAAGGGAACUGCCCUAAAGUAAUAAAAAGAGAGAAUCCGGCAGAGUGAACUCAGAAAAAUGGUUGGAGACUGUAACUAAGUACACU